AAAUCACUUGGCUAUCAACAGUUGAGAAGCCAGCAGAACUGUUUUACCCAGGAUCUGGAUGAUGAGGAUGGUGAAAAUAUGAGAGUUACAGUGAAAAG